UUAAAACUAACAUUAAUUUGUAUUGUAAAAUUAUUAGAAUUAAGUUGAGUAACUUGAACAUAUAUACACACAUAUAGAAGAUAACAUCAUAAUAAAUAAUCUACCUAUAUAAUAUAAAUAUUUGUAAUUAUAUGUGAUAUAUUUAUAUAUAUUAGAAAAUAGCGGUGCGGUGCGGUUUGAACCGCGCGUGUAUAAUGUCAAACCGCAACCCACACCGCACCGCGCGGUUUGUUAAAAUUUCAACCCGCAACCGCACCACGAAAAAGAAAAACCGCAUUUUGCGGUGUGGUGCGGAGCGGUGCGGGCGGUUUAUGCGGUGUGGGCGGUUUGAUGAACACCCCUA
rnacentral:lncRNA from 1 species